rnacentral:rRNA from 1 species
AGUAAGGAAUAUUCCGCAAUGGACGAAACUCUGACGGAGCGACACCGCGUGGAGGAUGACACCUUUAGGGGCGUAAACUCCUUUUCUGAGUGAAUAAGUUCUGAAAUUAGCUCAGGAAUAAGUGACGGCUAACUACGUGCCAGCAGCCGCGGUAAUACGUAGGUCGCAAGCAUUAACCGGAAUUAUUGGGCGUAAAGGGUCCGUAGCCGGAAAAGAAAGUCCGAUGUUAAAACACAGUGCUCAACACUGUGAUCGUAUUGGAAACUUCUUUUCUAGAGUUAUUCAGAGGUGCGUGGAAUUUCUUGUGUAGGGGUAAAAUCCGUAGAUACAAGAAGGAACACCAAAAGCGAAGGCAGCGCACUGGGGAUAUACUGACGGUCAGGGACGAAAGCGUGGGGAGCAAAGAGGAUUAGAUACCCUCGUAGUCCACGCCCUAAACGAUGGAUACUCGAUGUUCGGAAGAUUCGACCCUUCUGAGUGUCUAAGCUAACGCGUUAAGUAUCCCGCCUGGGGACUACGGUCGCAAGACUAAAACUCAAAGGAAUAGACGGGGGCCCACACAAGCGGUGGAGCAUGGGGUUUAAUUCGAUAAUACACGGGGAACCUUACCUGGACUUGACAUCCCGAGAAUCCUUCAGAGACGAAGGAGUGCCGCAAGGAACUCGGUGACAGGUGCUGCAUGGUUGUCGUCAGCUCGUGCCUUGAGGUGUGCGGUUAAGUCCGUAAACGAGCGCAACCCUUGUCAUAUGUUAAA